rnacentral:tRNA from 1 species
GGUGCUGUAGCGUGGUGGGUUAAAGCCCUGGCCUUAGGCGCUAGCAUCCCAUAUGGGCUCAGGUUCAAGUCCUGGCUGCUCCA